UACGUAGGGUGCGAGCGUUAAUCGGAAUUACUGGGCGUAAAGUGUGCGCAGGCGGCUGAGCAAGUCGAGUGUGAAAGCCCCGGGCUUAACUUGGGAAUUGCGCUCGAAACUACUUUGCUGGAGUGUGGCAGAGGAAGGUGGAAUUCCACGUGUAGCGGUGAAAUGCGUAGAGAUGUGGAGGAACACCAAUGGCGAAGGCAGCCUUCUGGGCCAACACUGACGCUCAGGCACGAAAGCGUGGGGAGCAAACAGG
rnacentral:rRNA from 1 species